GGGGCUAAUACCGGAUAGGAGCUCCUGCUGCAUGGUGGGGGUUGGAAAGUGUCGGCGGUUGGGGAUGGACUCGCGGCUUAUCAGCUUGUUGGUGGGGUAGUGGCUUACCAAGGCUUUGACGGGUAGCCGGCCUGAGAGGGUGACCGGCCACAUCGGGACUGAGAUACGGCCCAGACUCCUACGGGAGGCAGCAGUGGGGAAUAUCGCACAAUGGGCGGAAGCCUGAUGCAGCAACGCCGCGUGCGGGAUGACGGCCUUCGGGUUGUAAACCGCUAUCGCCUGUGACGAAGCGUGAGUGACGGUAAUGGGUAAAGACGCACCGGCUAACUACGUGCCAGCAGCCGCGGUGAUACGUAGGGUGCGAGCGUAGUCCGGAUAUAUAGGGCGUAAAGGGCUCGUAGGUGGUCGAUCGCGUCGGAAGUGUAAUCUCGGGGCUAAACCCUGAGCGUGCUGUCGAU
rnacentral:rRNA from 1 species